rnacentral:rRNA from 1 species
CAGCACCUCAAGUGGUCAGGAUGAUUAUUGGGCCUAAAGCAUCCGUAGCCGGCGCUGUAAGUUUUCGGUUAAAUCUGUACGCUCAACGUACAGGCUGCCGGGAAUACUGCAGCGCUAGGGAGUGGGAGGGGUAGACGGUACUCGGUAGGAAGGGGUAAAAUCCUUUGAUCUAUUGAUGACCACCUGUGGCGAAGGCGGUCUACCAGAACACGUCCGACGGUGAGGGAUGAAAGCUGGGGGAGCAAACCGGAUUAGAGACCCGAGUAGUCC